rnacentral:piRNA from 1 species
UUGAUUACUGUAGCUUCUUCCUCCUUGCAAC